AUCGGUGUGUUAAUCUCUACAGCAUGAAUGCCUACAGCACCAAGGAGAAGACUAACAAAGAGGACAUCGUCGUAGAGAUGAAGGCAAAAAAGACGGAGGAGUCCGUGCUGUUGAAGGGCGUCAAUGGGGAAAAGAAAACUCCCAAUGACCAGAGCAGUGCCCUAAGCUCAUAAGUGAAGACUUGUGGGCGACUAAAGAUGGCAUCUGUACCUCCCUCCUGACCCAACAAUCAAGUCUUAAGAGCUGGAGGACCUCUUGUGGAGCAGCCACCUCCUCUGGAUAAAGUGGACUGUACUUUUGUAUCUCGUGUGUGAGCAGCAGUAUCCAUGCUUGGAUAAAUGGGACGUAAGCGAUAAAGGAAGAUUGCUCUCUGUUUUCUACUGUUCUCCAUUGUUUUUCUUCAACCAUCGACCAAUUUCAAGAUCACGAGCUUCAUCCAUUAAAAACAAGCAAAAUGAAUUACGGUGUAAAAACAUUCUUACACCCUGUCUACAUCUAAUGUGAGCACCACGUUGCAUCAAAAACCAACAGAGUGCUGCAGGGAUGACAUAUUUUUGUAGGCCAAAGUCUGGAAACGAAUUAGCUUUUCCAUCAUUCUGAAGUCGAUGGUUUUUUUGAAUGGGUUUUUGGUUAAUUCUCUGAAAUAAGGUCUCUGGUUAAUACAAGCUCAGGCUAUUUUGACGGUUUAUUCUAUGACAUAAAAUACAGAAACCCAAAAGUUAAUGGAAAAAUCCUGUUGGGUUUUGGUCAAGGAAACCAGGGGGGUGCUUACUUCCGAGUUGCCCUACAAAAAUAUGUCAUCAUCACCUCAAGCACAAAUGAACGCAUUUAUUAAUGUGACUAUUUACAUAAAAAUGGUUUUUCAUAUGAAUUCAUUCUGCUUGUUUCACAAAUGAGGCUUGAUGUCCUUUUUAGACCACAAAAAUGUAUAUACUGUAUUAUAAAUGUCUUGCGAUUGAUCCUACUUGUGACCUUAUUGGUUCCAGAUGUGCUUUUCUAAGCUCUGUUCAGAUUUUUCUUUUCGUUUUUCAGUCCUUGCAUAAUGCAGCAGAAAGCAUCUACAAACAGCGAAAAAGUUGAUUUUGUUUUAAACGUACAGAACAUUUAGUCGUCUCCUGAUAUUCCAGUAAAUCCCAAUGGACCAAAUAAUAAAUGUAAGUUCAGUUUGAAAGGCUGUUCAUUAAAAAACCCACGUAAAGACAUUGAGAAUAACAGAUGUGUAGUCUUCAUAAACACACAGCCCUUCACAAUAUUAAGAAACCCAGUGCAACCUGGAUGACCGAAUAAACAUGACCCCGGCAUAAUACUGAGCUGACACUUAAUAGUGUGUGUACGGUCCAACUCAAACUACUGCAGAGCUCGUGUACUGUUUGUAAAUAGUCGUAGGGAAGGAAAUUGUAGCUCUUUGUGUUUUGAGCUCCCUCUGUUUCUGCCUCAACUGCAGUGCCUGCGGAAAUGUGUCUUCAUUUCACGUCAAUGUUAGUUACACUGAAACCUUUGUGUUGUCUUGUUUGUUUUGCGCAUGACUUUGUAUUUGGUGAAGGGAAAGUUUUGUUGUUUUCAUAAAUGCCGUGAAUAAUAAUACUUUUUAGAAAGAGAAGCAGUACGUUUUAGCCUAAAAACCGAUGGCUCCUUUGUUUGCUCUCAGUUUUUCAGUUACUUUUUCAGAUUUUGAAAAGCUCGUUUUUGAGGCCUGUCAUUCAUUCAUUAAUGGGAUUUGUUCUAAUGUACAGACUUGUUUCAUGUUCUUGAAUGUGGCUUUGGCUUUUACUUUUGUUCAAUAACGACGUGACACGUUAUCUACAUCAGCUUGAGGAAGCUGAACCCUAAUAACUUCAGGACUGUUGUUAAAACACUAAACCGCACUUGGACAAUUCAUAUUUAAUUAUAGCUCUGCUUAUGCAUUCUUCUAGACUCAUGUUGUGUUAUGCUUAAAUUCCAUCGAAAAAGCUAU